UACGUAGGGGGCGAGCGUUGUCCGGAUUCAUUGGGCGUAAAGAGCUCGUAGGCGGCUUGGCAAGUCGGAUGUGAAAACUCCAGGCUCAACCUGGAGCCGCCAUUCGAUACUGCUAUGGCUAGAGUCCGGUAGGGGAGUGUGGAAUUCCCGGUGUAGCGGUGAAAUGCGCAGAUAUCGGGAGGAACACCGAUGGCGAAGGCAGCACUCUGGGCCGGCACUGACGCUGAGGAGCGAAGGCGUGGGGAGCGAACGGG
rnacentral:rRNA from 1 species